rnacentral:rRNA from 1 species
GACCGCAGCCAUGCCACCCUGACUGUGUGUCACUGAUCUUGGAAGCUGAGCAGGGUUUGGCUCAGUUAGUACGUGGAUAGGAGACUUCCUGAGAACAAAUACCAGGUGCCGUAGGCU